GCUAGCACAUGGUUGGACUCAAUUUUUUCUUUACGUUUGGAUUUUUUAUUUGAUAAAAUAAUUCAAACUUAAUUACCUGCUAAUAACCUAAAUGAAUUAGAUUCAUUAGACUCCAAUUGUUGGAUGUCUAAGAUUUUGGAUCAAUUGAAUUAAGGGUACAAGUCCUUAAUUAAUUUCUUUGAUAAUUAUUUUUGGACACCACCUUGAUUUGAUCAAGUUGAGCGUGUCCCAUGAUUAGAGGGCAUGUGGACCCUUUAUGAGGCAUCCCUUGGGUGCAAAAGGUGUGAAUUAGUGGGCGCAAGGACUCCAAGAGUUGGCACUUAAAAGAAUUCCUAAAGAAAGUUAACUUAAGUUAUUAGGAAACCUAAUGCAAGUAGAACUUGUAUUAUGAGAUUGAAUAGGAUUCAAUCCUUAUGGCUAUUUAAAGGGACCUCCCCUAAGGUCCCUAAGCAACUAAACCAACAAGCCCCACGCCCCUUUAGAAGCUCCC
rnacentral:lncRNA from 1 species